AUCCCCAACAUUCGUCUCUACUCUUCGUGUGGCGGCGGCGAUGCGGUGACGAUUGUGUUUCUUCUCACAACCUGAAACGGUCGGUUUAAUGGCUUCGUCUUUAAUCCCAUCGAUUUGCACCUCCACGCUUCAAAGCGUUGCUUAAGAUCUGAGUGGCGGUGUGGGUUCGGUAUAAAUAUAUAUAUGACCGAGCAAAAGCUGCUGAAAUAUUAAGAUCUGGAAGUUUUACAAAGAGAUCACAGUGAUUCUGACACGAGAGAAAUUAAGGGAAAAAGGGCAAUAGUCCAGUUAUGGUGUUACAAAAUCAGCCUGGUACGUGGAUUCAAAGGUGGAGGUAAAUGUGCAUUGGAUUUGUCUGUAUGGAUUUAACUGGAAUGGAUUUAACUUGAGUUAUUGAAGUUGUUUCUAUGUAUGGUUCAAGAUUAGCAAGCUCUGAGUUACUAUGAAGAGUCCAAGAGUUAUCAACGUUGAUAACCGCAACAUUUGUUCUUUCUUUAUGAUAUUGAUGACUCUUUGUUUUAUCACUGAUCUAGGAAGCUGCAUUAUUCUAUGAGACCAUCGUCUAUACGUACAUACACAUAUGGUGAAGUUUAAAGUGUCUAGCUUGGGGUCGUGUGUUUGUUCAUUGGUUAAUGAAGUUAUAAGGGAGUAAUUUUGGUAGUAGUUUUACUGUCUUAAGCUUUGAGAUGGGUGGUCAUUCUCAAAGGACUCGAGUAGGAAGAGCAGCAAAUCAUCCUCAAAAGUUCCAAGAAAGCCCCGUACAACCAUAGUUAUAGGGAGGAAAAAUACGUGGUGGCCAAGAAAGCCCCGUACAACCAUUUUAGGAAGUUUUACAGUUCAACACAUUUCUUACAUAUUGUUUAGAAAUUUAUAAUUUUCUCAUCUAGCAACUGUAAACUUUUCUUUUUU